rnacentral:tRNA from 1 species
GGCACUUUGGCGGAGUGGUUAACGCGAUGCCCUGCUAUUGCGUAAGCAUAGUUGUCAGGCAUUUCCCUCGGGAGCGUGUGUUCGAAUCACACAGGUGUCG